rnacentral:lncRNA from 1 species
UUUCUUCUGUAAGCCUUUCAACAACUAUAAUCUUUCCAUACUUAUCUUGCUCCAUUCUAUUUCUAUUUAUGUGUAAAUAAUGCGAUUUACUAAAAACCACAUAUAUCCAAUCUCAUUAGAUUUGAUUGGUUCCUAUUUUUUUGCUCUCUAUUUUUCUCUCUUCCAUAUCUACCAUCUCUCUCUACUUCCUACACUAGAACCACCAUGCCCUCCUUUUGCACGUCAUCUCUCAUUAACUCUCUUCAAUCUCCUCUUUUACAAUUAUUAACAUCCCUCUCCUUUUCCACAUUAACUCACUCUAUCUUUAUCUUAGCUAUAUCCACCAUCACCACCAAGGUCCACUAAGUCUGUUCAUCUCUAUCAUAAUUGUUACUCUCUCCUCCUUGUCUACCUUCUCUCUCUAUUUCUCUCUUUUGUCUAUCUUGACCUACAAUAUUGCCAACUUCCUCCAACAUAUAUGGUGCCCCCUCCUAUUCCACCUCCUCUCUUUCUUUAUCUUCUUUUCACUUUCAUUUUCAUGCGCCUCCUUGAUCACUUCCUUUCUUGUCCAUUAUAGUUGUUGCCUGUGGCUU